rnacentral:rRNA from 1 species
UACGAAGGGGGCUAGCGUUGCUCGGAAUCACUGGGCGUAAAGCGCACGUAGGCGGAUUGCUAAGUCAGGGGGUGAAAUCCUGGAGCUCAACUCCAGAACUGCCCUUGAUACUGGCGGUCUCGAGUCCGGGAGAGGUGAGUGGAACUGCGAGUGUAGAGGUGAAAUUCGUAGAUAUUCGCAAGAACACCAGUGGCGAAGGCGGCUCACUGGCCCGGUACUGACGCUGAGGUGCGAAAGCGUGGGGAGCAAACAGG